UUUCUUGGAAAACUUAAAACCCUACUUGUUACUAGUUGUGGCAAUCUCAGAAGUAUUCCACCUCUCAAGUUGGAUUCGCUAGAAAAAUUUGACCUUUCUUAUUGUGGUAGUCUUGAGAGUUUUCCAUUGGUGGUGGAUGGGUUUCUUGGAAAACUUGAAACCCUUCUUGCUGAAAAUUGUCACAAUCUUAGGAGUAUUCCACCUCUUAAGUUGGAUUCACUAGAAACAUUUGACCUUUCAUGUUGUUAUAGUCUUGAGAGUUUUCCACUUGUGGUGGACGGUUUUCUUGGAAAACUUAAAACCUUACUUGUUACAAGUUGUCACAAUCUUAAGAGUAUCCCACCGCUCAAGUUGGAUUCUUUAGAAACACUUGACCUUUCAUGUUGUUAUUGGCUCGAAAGUUUUCCACUUGUGGUGGACGGGUUUCUUGGAAAACUUAAAACCCUGCGUGUUACAAGUUGUCACAAUCUCAGGAGUAUUCCACCUCUCAAGUUGGAUUUGCUAGAAGAACUUGACCUUUCAAAUUGUUAUAGGCUCGAGAAUUUUCCACUUGUGGUUCACGGGUUUCUUGGAAAACUUAAAACCCUUCUUGUUACAAGUUGUCACAAUCUCAGGAGUAUUCCACCUCUCCAGUUGGAUUCACUUGAAAAACUUGACCUUUCAAAUUGUUAUAGGCUCGAGAGUUUUCCACUUGUGGUGGAUGGGUUUCUUGGAAAACUUAAAACCCUACUUGUUACAAGUUGUCACAAUCUCAGGAGUAUCCCACCUCUCAAUUUGGAUUCUUUAGAAAAACUUGACCUUUCAUGUUGUU
rnacentral:lncRNA from 1 species